rnacentral:rRNA from 1 species
AUUGAACGCUGGCGGCAGGCCUAACACAUGCAAGUCGAGCGGAUGAAGGGAGCUUGCUCCUUGAUUCAGCGGCGGACGGGUGAGUAAUGCCUAGGAAUCUGCCUGGUAGUGGGGGAUAACGUCCGGAAACGGGCGCUAAUACCGCAUACGUCCUGAGGGCGAAAGUGGGGGAUCUUCGGACCUCACGCUAUCAGAUGAGCCUAGGUCGGAUUAGCUAGUUGGUGGGGUAAAGGCCUACCAAGGCGACGAUCCGUAACUGGUCUGAGAGGAUGAUCAGUCACACUGGAACUGAGACAGGUUCAAGACUCCUACGGGAGGCAGCGUGGGGAAUUAUUGGACAAUGGGCGAAAGCCUGAUCCAGCCUUGCGGCGGGGGUGAAGAAGGGCUUCGGAUUGUAAAGCCCUUUAAGUUGGGAGGAAGGGCAGUAAGUUAAUACCUGGCUGUUUGGACGUUACCAACAGAAUAAGCACCGGCUAACUUCGU